AGAUCUUGCUCCAAAGAGAUAAAUAAUUCAACAUCGAGGUCACAAUCUUUUUCUUCUAUGAGAACUUAAAGAAAAAAUUGUGCUGUUAUCCCUACGGUAGCUUGUUAAUUUCCCAGUUUGGGGAUAGAGUGGAGGUGAGAAAAAAGAUUUAGUUUUUUACCGCCCCAGUUCAACUAAAGUGAAGUUCGAUAGGGUCUUGUCGUCCUUCUCUUUUAUACAAGUUUUUUUACUUGAGUGAAAAGUUAAAAUAAUUUAGGUAAUAAAGAAAUUUAUAUGUCAAACCUUUCAUUCUAGCCUUCAAUUAAAAGGCAAAUGAUUAUGCUACCUUAGCACAAAAAUAUUGCGGCUAUUUAAGAGAUCAUUGAGCAGGUUCUACUGAAUAUAAUGACAUUCAGAAAUGUUUUUGAUAAACAGACAAUAAAAUAAGGGCCGAGUUCAUAAACCUAAAGUUAGUUUGUUCUUUUAGCGGUGGGUUAAGGAUACAUGGUAGUGGCUGGUAUUUUACUAAUAAAGUCAUUGUGGUGUGGAUUUAAAGGAGAGGGCUUCUUUUAAGAAAAUUUGUAGGGUUAUAAGAUAAAGUUUUUAAACUGAAGGACACUAUUAAUCCUUAACUUGAGAGAAUUCGAGAAGCGGAAAAUUAGAAAAAAGGAUUGUCCCUUUUAAAAUUUUAGUAGUAUUACUUUAAAAGAAAACCAGAUAUCAUAGAAUGCGAGUGGAAUUUCAUCUCUAUUUCCCCUUUGAAAAACUUUAUGAAACAAGAUUGGCAAGGGGAAAUAGAUCAUUUCAAUUUCGGGAACAUUUAUUAAAAAGUUAUGGUUGAAUUUCCCUGAUACAAAAGGUACAUCAAUUUUCUAUUGAACAAUUUUAGGGUCCCUUUCGGUUAAGGAAUAAAAAGAAAAUAAGAAAUAGUAUGGAGUAUUAUUUUAGACAAAAUUUUAAGUAGUUAGGUCU
rnacentral:rRNA from 1 species